AUACUAUUCCCUCCGUUCCGAAUUACUUGUCGCAAGUAUGGAUGUAUCUAGAUGUAUUUUAGUUCUAGAUACAUCCAUUUCUACGACGAGUAAUUUGAAACGAAGGGAGUAAAAA
rnacentral:pre_miRNA from 1 species